rnacentral:rRNA from 1 species
UACGUAGGGGGCAAGCGUUGUCCGGAUUUAUUGGGCGUAAAGAGCGUGUAGGCGGCCAGAUAGGUCCGUUGUGAAAACUCGAGGCUCAACCUCGAGACGCCGAUGGAAACCAUUUGGCUAGAGUCCGGAAGAGGAGAGUGGAAUUCCUGGUGUAGCGGUGAAAUGCGCAGAUAUCAGGAAGAACACCCGUGGCUAAGGCAGCUCUCUAGUACGGUACUGACGCUGAGACGCGAAAGCGUGGGGAGCGAACAGG